rnacentral:rRNA from 1 species
GAUGAACGCUGACAGAAUGCUUAACACAUGCAAGUCAACUUGAAUUUGGGUUUUUAACUUAGGUUUGGGUGGCGGACGGGUGAGUAACGCGUAAAGAACUUGCCUCACAGCUAGGGACAACAUUUGGAAACGAAUGCUAAUACCUAAUAUUAUGAUAAUAGGGCAUCCUAUAAUUAUGAAAGCUAUAAGCGCUGUGAGAGAGCUUUGCGUCCCAUUAGCUAGUUGGAGAGGUAACGGCUCACCAAGGCGAUGAUGGGUAGCCGGCCUGAGAGGGUGAUCGGCCACGAGGGGACUGAGACACGGCCCUUACUCCUACGGGAGGCAGCAGUGGGGAAUAUUGGACAAUGGACCGAGAGUCUGAUCCAGCAAUUCUGUGUGCACGAUGAAGUUUUUCGGAAUGUAAAGUGAUUUCAGUUGGGAAGAAACAAAUGACGGUACCAACAGAAGAAGUGACGGCUAAAUACGUG